CCUGGAGUGGUCCAGUGGUUAAGACUCUGUGCUUCCAACACAGGGAGUGCAGGCUCGAUUCCUGGUCUGGGA
rnacentral:tRNA from 1 species